CGAGUCCUCGUGCACUACACCCUCCGGACACUCCUGAAAAAGAAAUCACAGUGAAUGGUUACUUCGACCAGAUUCGUGUGAUCGAGUAUUGUGGCAAAUUUCAACGUCGUUUCUUCUUUUUUUUUUUUUUCAUUUUACGUUGGAGAUAAGAAGGCAGAUAGGUUUGAAAAUACAGCCAGUAAUGAUCUGUUGGUAUAGUAGUAAUGGUAGGUCAAUUUACUGAAGGUAAAUCUCGGCUACAUCUUCCCUGAAGCGGUUUACGAGAUGAUAAAAAUGUGGAUGGGAUAGGAGGGGUUGUUCGUGUACUCUUGUUUACGGAUAUAAUCCCCGAAGCAAAACGUAAAAAUGAGGAUUCCUUAUGCUGUGCCGAGGAACGUCUUUGAAGCCUACAAAUGUUCGGACGAGACAAUGCGUUUAUCCAGCGAACGCGACAGAAGUAUUCGAGCGGAAGAUGAAUUCUGGGACGAGAAAAAUGUUACAAGCUUGAAGGUGCUUGCCCUUAGUGUCAUAGCUUCGACAUGGAAGGACAACCCUAUAUUAGAGGAACUACCGACUUGCGAGGAUAGAGAUAUGCUUAUGGAAAUCUUACCCAUCGAUUUACCAUUUAAACUGGUUAUCACGAAGAUAGAGGACGAACAGUAUUGGGAACGAUGCUCUAGAAACAGAUGGGAGCACAACAAUCCGGCGGAUCAUGGCGAUUCCUGGCGACAACUCUACUGCGAGGGUCAUCUUUGCGAAUAUUUGGAAAAUUUCGAGCCAAGUUACUUCGAGUCCCAGCAAGAGAAAUGCGAAGAAACAAUUCAACUUGUCCAAAAUUAUGUACACACCUUGGUACUGCGUACUCUUCGUCCCACCAAAAAACGUACAAAAUUUUUCGAUGACGAGGAUCCCUGUGUCGUCGAAGAGGAGCCUGUUCACCACAUCCCUUUCGCGAUUAUUCUACCCCAGCUUCCUCAUCUCACCGAAAUUCGCAUCAAUUUCGAGGUGGUUUACAUGAACGACGGUUUCGAAUGGCGAGACUUUGAGUUCUCGGUGGAAGAUUGCAUGGCUCUUGGAAAAGGGAUCCAUGCCUGCCCGAAAUUGAGGAAAUUCACUCUGUCCAGGAGCAACCUGGAUCAGCCACGUGCCGCGGCUUUGCUCCAAGGGAUUCUGGGGAACGAACACAUAGAAGAAAUAGAUUUCUCGCAUUGCAAACUAGGAGACAAAGGAGCCUACGCUAUCGGUGAAUUUCUACGAGUCCAUAAAAAUUUGAAGAUCAUACAUUUAGCCAACAACGAUAUAGGACCGGAAGGAGUGUCAGGGAUAAUGAACGGAUUACUUAAAAGAGAAGACUCGAUACUGAAGCAUCUAAAUUUGAAAUUGAACCCUCUGCUGGACGAUGGAGUGGUUCACGUCUGUGCCUAUACAGGAGAAGAUGGAUGUUUCUCUUUUAGAUCUACUACGGAAAGACAGUUUAGAAGUUCUGGACUUGAGCGCUUGCGGAAUAACAGCUGACGGAGGUGCAGCGUUAGCCGAAGUAUUCGGUUCUGGCUCUUUGAGCUUCGAAACUUUCAGCCUCGACGUGUCUAAUAAUGACUUUAAUGAAACAGUUGGCGAGGCGUUCGAGGCUGCGUUCGAGUCCACUCCGUUUAUCAUCGGCUUUGCUGCUCGAAUGUGUAAUUUCUCCGAACAAUCGGAGCUCUCUAUCUACGAGAAUGUACUCAG